GGUUUCUGACGGUGCCCUGCGGUCGCCUACUCGUUCUGGGACCGCUUCUGCCGCAGCUUCACGGUCGCAGUAACCAGAGUCCGCCUUAGCUCUUUGGCCGGAAGCGCCCAAACGGUGUUUUUUCUGUCAACGCGCGAAUUUGCACCGUUUCUCUCAGCCCCAGAACCUCUGGUUUCUCACGGUCGAAGGUUUCUCGGUGACGGCGCCGUUGAUUGCGCCAGAACGGAUGUUCGUUCCUAGCAGCGCCGCUAGUUGGCAUCGCUUGGAGGCUCCCAGUACCGUUUCUCGGAGCCGAUUCCUCUGGGUCUGAGCACAGCUGGUAGUUCGGUGUCUGAAUUUUCUGGGUGGCAGCACCGCUGCUUACCCCGCCCGGACGGGGCAGUUCCCUCGUUGCCCGGAGCCGGGUGCUUCCUGGUGGCAGCGCCGCGGGGAGGGUCGAGCCCGCCGCGUCCCAGGAGCCCCACUGGGGUAGAGCUUUGCCGGCGCUUUCUCUCUCCCAGCACCGACCGCGACGCCGGGUCGGAUCUCUCUUGGUCUCCAGAAUCGGGUCUUGUUACCUGUACCGGCUGCGUGUCUGUCGCUGGACCCCGCGGUUUUGCCGCCUCAUCAAUUUCUUGGUUUCGAUUUAGCGCUGCCUGGGAUUUCUCUCUCUUGUCCACCCGCGGAGGGGAAUAAUAGUGCGUUGAUGUCUCUGCCACAGUCCCGACUUAGACAAGCGCCAGUUUAACCCUGCCUGUGAUUUCUUAGUGGUAGGAAGUCAGGGGCCGUAGCAAGUCACGGUUUAACCGUGCGAUGACGAUUUCUUACUCGGAGCGAGUGUGGCUUUAGCGAUUUCUUAGCGUAGCAAGUUCCGGUUUCGCAAUAGUAACCCCCAUUUUAGCUAUACGUGUGAUUUUUUAACUCUCGUUAGAAACCUGGGUACUGGCAAAUGCGAUUUUUAAAACACCAGUUUAGCAGUGCCUGGAAUUUCUUAGUCAUACCAAGUUUGCUUUCGCAAUAGCGAGUCUCUCCCUGGCUGUUUGUGAUUUAUACUCAAGUAGAAGUGGGGGUAUACAGGCUACUGGAAUUUUCUACCUGUGGCAAAUACCAGUUUAGCCAUGACUCUUUGUUCUUAAUCCUAGGAAAUUUUGAAUUGGGCGCAAGAAGCACCGGUUUAGUUCUGACAGAAAUAUUAUAAUCGUAGGAUCACGGCAUUCAACAGCGUUUGCAAUUUCUUCUUUGUAGGGUUCUCUGUGUGUUUCUUUUAUUAAUAUUUUUUUAAAAAAUAUUUUUGGUGUGCCUUGUUUUGGGAACGGGGUUAUCAGUGUAUUUUGCUUCCAUUUCUGUUUGCUUUUUCGAGUUUCAUUGCUUAUAUUAUUUCUUCGUUUAAAUGUUUUUGCUGCUUCUACUGAUUUUCGGGGGUCACCACUCAUCUUCGCGCUAACGUGCCGUCUCCGACACCCGGGUCUCGGCGCGGCGGCCCCGCUCCUGCGCGAGCCAGCGCUUUCGCAUCCGCACUUUCGCCAGCAGCGCCGGCCCUGCAGUUUCUCAGUCGUUCCACCCUUCGGGGCACUGACAGAACGUUUGCCGUUCACAACACUCGCAGGUUCUUUGUGGAUCACUUUCCCUGCUCUAGCACCGCUACUUUCCCCAGGGUGGCUGUUGCACGAUCGCAGCAUCGUGAUUUGCACCGAGGCGGCCUCUCAGCACAGACCGCUGUCAGGGCGUGGCCGCCAUUUCCCCGUCGCGGCGAGUAUUUCACUGAGUAGGCCCUUUCUCCGCAGAAGCGCCAAUCGUUCCUCCAAGUCCCGAUGUUUCUCGUCGACAGUAGUUUUCUAGUGCCAAUACCUUAAUUAUCCCAAAAAGCAGGUUGCCGCUGGGUACGCCGCUGGUUGUUCAGUGUUGGCAGUGGGUGUGUCCCAGUGCCUCGCUUCCUCAGACCGCCGUUUCUGAGUCGCAGCACCGCUCGUCAGUCCAAACAGAUUUGAUCUCAGUGGCAGCACAGCUGGUGGGUCGAGCCCGCAGCUUCUCCUUAGCCAUUUCGCUCGUUUUGGGGUCCUAGCACUGCUGGUGGUACCCCCAGAAGCUCUUUGCGUGUCGCGGAGUUGCAAGACAUAUGCCAAGUCUACCCAACGCUGCCUCGCUUAGCUAGGCUGCAGGGCGAAAAGAGCAGACUGGUGCCAGGCUGCAUCGUCGGUGGAUUUCAGAGUCUAGGACACCUGAGAUUUCUGCACAGUUUCUAUUGGAUCUUGGGAUCUUUCUUCUUGGAAAGAUUAUCAGUUACAAUAGCAUCUAUUCAUGUUCUUAAAAUAAAGUUUGCCUUUACAAUC